rnacentral:lncRNA from 1 species
CAGACCCCAGCGGAUUUUGUAUGGCCUUCAUUCUAUGUUAGAAUUCACAUUCCUCACUGCAGGAAGCUCACGGUGCCAAAACUGUAAGACACCCGUUGGCAGAUUUAGGAGUUGAUGACUCAGGCAAGAUGUUGCGUAAUGGUCAAUUUUCAGUUUCAGCAGCUCUGAUGUUGGAAGUUCAUCCAGGAGAACAACAAGGAUUGCGGAUUGCCAACCGAGUUAUAAGUCAUGAACUAACCAUUCCCAGGUGCCCGUCAUGUUACAACAGUAGUGAAACAAGGCAACUGGCAGGCUGUCAGGCUGAGGAACAAGAUCAGCAAAAGCAGCACCUGCCAUUCGUAAUGCCCAACUCACAGGUGCUAUGCCCUGCCGCUAACAAAGGAACAUACCAGAAAGCAUCAGAACUGCACAU